rnacentral:rRNA from 1 species
UACGUAGGGUGCGAGCGUUGUCCGGAAUUAUUGGGCGUAAAGAGCUCGUAGGCGGUUUGUCGCGUCGACUGUGAAAACUGGGGGCUUAACUCUCAGCUUGCAGUUGAUACGGGCAGACUUGAGUUCGGUAGGGGAGACUGGAAUUCCUGGUGUAGCGGUGAAAUGCGCAGAUAUCAGGAGGAACACCGGUGGCGAAGGCGGGUCUCUGGGCCGAUACUGACGCUGAGGAGCGAAAGCGUGGGGAGCGAUCCGG